GGGGAUAUAGCUCAGUGGCACAGCACCUGCCUGGCCAGCUUGAGGUCCUGAGUUCAAGUCUCAGUACCA
rnacentral:tRNA from 1 species